rnacentral:lncRNA from 1 species
CCUGCGCAUCUCUCCUUGUCGGCCUAUUCUUAUUGUCAUACGAGUCUGCGUUCCUUCAGACACUUGUCAAAAACAAGAAGAUAAAAAAAUCCUUUAUCAAGUCAGGGAUAUUACAGUUGUUAUCCAUUCGUUUGAUGUGUUUGAGCUUUUUGUUUUGCCAUUUACUUAGAGACUUUCCGUUUUGAAUUUUCAUCAGAGUUCGUUAUUUUAUUUUGG